rnacentral:rRNA from 1 species
UGGGGAAUAUUGCACAAUGGGCGCAAGCCUGAUGCAGCCAUGCCGCGUGUGUGAAGAAGGCCUUCGGGUUGUAAAGCACUUUCAGCGAGGAGGAAGGUGGUGAACUUAAUACGUUCAUCAAUUGACGUUACUCGCAGAAGAAGCACCGGCUAACUCCGUGCCAGCAGCCGCGGUAAUACGGAGGGUGCAAGCGUUAAUCGGAAUUACUGGGCGUAAAGCGCACGCAGGCGGUUUGUUAAGUCAGAUGUGAAAUCCCCAGGCUCAACCUGGGAACUGCAUUUGAAACUGGCAAGCUAGAGUCUCGUAGAGGGGGGUAGAAUUCCGGGUGUAGCGGUGAAAUGCGUAGAGAUCUGGAGGAAUACCGGUGGCGAAGGCGGCCCCCUGGACGAAGACUGACGCUCAGGUGCGAAAAGCGUGGGGAGCAAAACAGGAUUAGAUACCCUGGUAGUCCACGCUGUAAACGAUGUCGAUUUUGGAGGUUGUGCCCUUGAGGCGUGGCUUCCGGAGCUAACGCGUUAAAUCGGCCGCCUGGGGAGUAC